GUCUCUAUCUCCGUCCGCGAGGCAAGUCGCACGCCUCAGUCACGAACAGCCUCGCCGACGCAGGUCACGCCGUAUCGCACGAAUUCGGCUACGUUGCCGGGCUACUCCCAUCCGCGCGUAACUGCUGUUGAACGUCCGAACCGUUCUGCCUUCGUCGAUACCCACCGUCGCGGACCAGUUCGCGUGCAAAAGUGUUUUGCACGAUGUCUUUUGUGUAGAUCCUGCGGCAACUUCUAUUUAACGUCGAUUGUCAAAGUCUUGUUACAAGAUAUUGGCGACAUCGGUGAUUUGGAGUUAGUGUCCUUGAGUUACGCCUUAAGCUUUGUUGGAGUUCGAUUCUUUACUCUUGGGGUUUGUUUGUUGAAGUUAGUUCGACUAAGGAAUUUUACAUAAAGAUCCAGGCAAAGGUAAUAAAGGCGGCAAACAGGCGAGGGGCAGGAAGGAAACGUGAUGCCAUAGGAAACGUGUUUUUGCUUCUGCUUAUGGGUUCUUGAGAGGUUUAAAAUGGAUUGAAAUUUAGUUUACAAACGUUUGUUGUAAAUAGUAUUAUUUUAUGAAUGUUUUAAAAAUCAGGCCUGACUUGAA